AGUAAACGCUAUUAUUGAUAACCUCUCUCUAUCUCUCUCUAAGCUGUUCAUCUCCCCCCCAACAACAACAACCCAACUAGCUUAGCUUUGGUCUGUCCAGGACAAAAGCAUCCUUUGUUUUUUUUUCAAUUGUGCAAUUGGUUUUGUCUGGAGAAUAUUUUAACGGAAAGAAAAAAAAAAAGAAAACUUGGAGAAGAGAGUGAAUGAAAAGGAAUAAACAAAAUCUAAAGCCUCAAAUUUGGAAUAUUCCCAUUUUCAUCUUCCUUUGUUCCUUCUUCUGUUAUUUCCUUAUUGAUUAGUGACCUCUCUUUCAUUUUUUUUUAAUCUCUCUGUUCCUCGUAACAGUAAAAAAGCUUCAUCAAAGCUCGAAAGGCUCUUCUUCCUUUGAUCGGAUUUUAAUCUAUUUCUUAUCGUUUUUUUUUCUUUGUUGGUUUCUCUUUCGAUUUUCAAUCUUCCGAACUGAAUCGUAUUGAAUUUUAGAUCUGGUCCCUGUAAUAACCAAUCAGCUGAUCCGUUCCUUUUUUUUGUCGUUGGCGGCGCGGUAAUGGAUUUGGAUGAAUUCCGGUCGAUUAUGGACAACGCCGGUGUCGAUGUUUGGACGUUUAUCGACACAGCGAUCCUGGUCGCGUCUCUCGAUUACGGUCAAGAGCUGAAGCAGCGGAGAGAUAACAUCGUGGAGCGUCUCUACGCGACGUCCAUGGCUAACAAGUGUAGAAACUGCGACUUUGGAAGCGUUUCGGAAGCUGCUAGGGUGGUUAAUGGGAGGAGGAGGGUUCACGAGGAGGAAGAAUUGAGAGAGAAAUCGGUUAAUGGUGAUGACGAGGAGGAGGAGGAUCCGUUUGCUGGUUUGUUUGAUGAUGAGCAGAAGAGUAUUCUUGAUAUCAAGGAGAAGCUUGAAGAACCUGAUCUGACAGAAGAAGCUUUGGUGGAGUUGCUUCAGAAUCUGGAAGAUAUGGAGAUAACAUUCCAAGCUCUUCAGGAAACUGAUAUUGGAAGGCAUGUGAAUCGAGUUCUUAGGAAGCAUCCAUCCAACGAAGUUCGAAGAUUAGCUAAACAGCUUGUCAAAAAAUGGAAAGAAACAGUAGACGAGUGGGUUAAAUUCAACCAGUCUAGUGAUCUCCAACCUCCUAGUUUAACAGCUGAUGAGGACUCACCGCCGCAGCAGAGAGCUAACCAUAACAGUAAUCGCCAGCAGGUUCCUGAUUUUGGGUAUUCACCUGCUCCCCAGACCACUCAGAAUGGGUAUUCCAGUUCAAGCAAGCAUUGUAACGUUACUGAGCCAGAGAGAAGACCAACAAGACCUGUUGCUCCUCCUCCAGCUAAGCUUUCUCGCCCUUCUCCUUCUCAACAACCCAUUCAGAGGGAGAAGGAGCAUAAAGACAUUGAUUUUGACUCAGCUCGGAAAAGACUAAAACAAAACUACAAGCAAGCCGAGAAUGCUAAAAAGCAAAGGACUAUACAGGUGAUGGACAUUCAUGAGAUCCCUAAACCUAAGAAAGGUGGAUUCUUUCCAAGAAAAGGCGGCAGUUCUCAAGGAGGUGCUAGACACUGGUAGAUUGAAUGAAGAAGAGAGUUGAGUGAAACGAGAGAAGAGAAUUAUAAAAAGACAGAGAACAAAGCUCUGUUUUUUUCUGAGACAGACACAAGAUGAAGACAGUGAAAUCUUAAAAAAUGUGUCAAGAAUUUGGAACUAAGUUGUGAUUCGCGUUUGCUGGAAUUUUUUAAUAAACGGGUCAAUGUAAAGUGAGAAAUGUGAUCUUUGUCGAGCUUAGCUUUUAGUUCGAGUGUUGAGAAGAAAAAAAAUCGUUUAUGACUCUUGAUAAAUCGAAAGAGCUUGUCUUUCAAUAAAUCGAAACACACCAAACAAAAAAAACGUUUUUCUUUUUCUUUUUGACUUUAUGCCCUUGAGACCCGCCGCGAUGAAUGAGACACAUUUUUAUUAUGUUCCAGUCCGAGUCAUUGUGGAUAGGCAUGAGCUGUAUAUUCUUUAACUAUGGUUUAUACUCCACGCGGAAAUGAUAAUAAUAAGUUAAUAACUAAUAUUGCCA